UGAUGCUGGCGGCAGGCUCACACAUUGACAAGUCGAGCGGGGGAAGGUCGCUUGCUACUGGACCUAGCGGCGGACGGGUGAGUAAUGCUUAGGAAUCUGCCUAUUAAUGGGGGACAACAUCUCGAAAGGGAUGCUAAUACCGCAUACGUCCUACGGGAGAAAGCAGGGGAUCUUCGGACCUUGCGCUAAUAGAUGAGCCUAAGUCGGAUUAGCUAGAUUGGUGGGGUAAAGGCCUACCAAGGCGACGAUCUGUAGCGGGUCUGAGAGGAUGAUCCGCCACACUGGGACUGAGACACGGCCAGACUCCUACGGGAGGCAGCAGUGGGGAAUAUUGGACAAUGGGGGGAACCCUGAUCCAGCCAUGCCGCGUGUCGUCGCAAGAAGGCCUUAUGGUUCGUAAAGCACUUUAAGCGAGGAGGAGGCUACUUUAGUUAAUACCUAGAGAUAGUUGGACGUUACUCGCAAGAAUCGAGCACCGGCCUAAACUCUGUGCCAGCAGCCGAGGUAAUACAAGACGGGUGCG
rnacentral:rRNA from 1 species